CUUUACUGCAACUUGACGUUGGAACUUGGCUGUAUUUGUGUAGGAUAGGUGGGAGACUUUGAAGUAGUGCCGCCAGGUAUUACUGAGUCGUCGUUGAAAUACCACCCUGGUGCUGACGAGUUUCUAACCGCACCCGUAAGCCGGGUGUGAGACAUCGUCUGGUGGGCAGUUUGACUGGGGCGGUCGCCUCCUAAAAGGUAACGGAGGCAUUCAAAGGUCCCCUCAGCGUGGUCGGUAAUCACGCGCAGAGUGCAAACGCAUAAGGGGGCUUAACUGCGAGACCGACAGGUCGAGCAGGUACGAAAGUAGGAGUUAGUGAUCCCGCGGUUUAGCGUGGAAUUGCCGUUGCUCAAUGGAUAAAAGGUA
rnacentral:rRNA from 1 species